rnacentral:rRNA from 1 species
AGUGAACGCCGGCGGUAGGCCUAACACAUGCAAGUCGAACGGCAGCACAGUAAGAGCUUGCUCUUACGGGUGGCGAGUGGCGGACGGGUGAGGAAUACAUCGGAAUCUACUUUUUCGUGGGGGAUAACGUAGGGAAACUUACGCUAAUACCGCAUACGACCUACGGGUGAAAGCAGGGGAUCUUCGGACCUUGCGCGAUUGAAUGAGCCGAUGUCGGAUUAGCUAGUUGGCGGGGUAAGGGCCCACCAAGGCGACGAUGCGUAGCCGGUCUGAGAGGAUGAUCAGCCACACUGGAACUGAGACACGGUCCAGACUCCUACGGGAGGCAGCAGUGGGGAAUAUUGGACAAUGGGCGCAAGCCUGAUCCAGCCAUACCGCGUGGGUGAAGAAGGCCUUCGGGUUGUAAAGCCCCGUUGUUGGGAAAGAAAAGCAGCAGGUUAAUACCCCGCUGUUCUGACGGUACCCAAAGAAUAAGCACCGGCUAACUUCGUG